UUUAAUUCGAAGAUACACGAAGAACCUUACCUGGGCUUGAUAUCCUAAGAAUCCUGUAGAGAUAUGGGAGUGCUAGUUUACUAGAACUUAGAGACAGGUGCUGCACGGCUGUCGUCAGCUCGUGUCGUGAGAUGUUGGGUUAAGUCCCGCAACGAGCGCAACCCUCGUGAUUAGUUGCUAACAGUUCGGCUGAGCACUCUAAUCAGACUGCCUUCGCAAGGAGGAGGAAGGUGAGGACGACGUCAAGUCAUCAUGGCCCUUAUGCCCAGGGCUACACACGUGCUACAAUGGCUAGGACAAAGAGAAGCGAUACUGCGAAGUGGAGCAAAUCUUAAAACCUAGUCUCAGUUCGGAUUGGAGUCUGCAACUCGACUCCAUGAAGCUGGAAUCGCUAGUAAUCGUAGAUCAGAUAUGCUA
rnacentral:rRNA from 1 species